rnacentral:rRNA from 1 species
GACGAACGCUGACGGCGUGCUUUAGACAUGCAAGUCGAACGCGAAAGCCCUUCGGGGCGAGUAGAGUGGCGAACGGGUGAGUAACACGUGGGUAACCUGCCCCUCGCAGGGGGAUAACCGGAGGAAACUCCGGCUAAUACCCCGUACGCUCCGGGGUCCGCAUGGUCUCCGGAGGAAAGGUAGCUUCGGCCAUCCGGCGAGGGAUGGGCCCGCGGCGCAUUAGCUAGUUGGUGGGGUAACGGCUCACCAAGGCGACGAUGCGUAGCUGGUCUGAGAG